UAACCUGCCCAAGAGAUCGGGAUAACACCUGGAAACAGAUGCUAAUACCGGAUAACAACAGAUGAUGCCUAUCAACUGUUUAAAAGAUGGUUCUGCUAUCACUCUUGGAUGGGCCUGCGGUGCAUUAGCUAGUUGGUAGGGUAACGGCCUACCAAGGCGAUGAUGCAUAGCCGAGUUGAGAGACUGAUCGGCCACAUUGGGACUGAGACACGGCCCAAACUCCUACGGGAGGCAGCAGC
rnacentral:rRNA from 1 species